rnacentral:rRNA from 1 species
GACGAACGCUGGCGGCGUGCUUAACACAUGCAAGUCGAACGGGCUCUAGCAAUAGAGCUAGUGGCGGACGGGUGAGUAACACGUGAGCAACCUGCCCUAUACAACGGGAUAACACUAAGAAAUUGGUGCUAAUACGGUAUAAGACCACGAUGAGGCAUCUCAUAGGGGUAAAAGCUGAGGCGGUAUAGGAGGGGCUCGCGGCCCAUUAGAUAGUUGGUGAGGUAACGGCCCACCAAGUCGACGAUGGGUAGCCGACCUGAGAGGGUGAUCGGCCACAUUGGAACUGAGAUACGGUCCAA